UACGUAGGGUGCGAGCGUUAAUCGGAAUUACUGGGCGUAAAGUGUGCGCAGGCGGCAGAGCAAGUCGAGUGUGAAAGCCCCGGGCUUAACUUGGGAAUUGCGCUCGAAACUACUUUGCUGGAGUGUGGCAGAGGAAGGUGGAAUUCCACGUGUAGCGGUGAAAUGCGUAGAGAUGUGGAGGAACACCAAUGGCGAAGGCAGC
rnacentral:rRNA from 1 species